GCCCCACCUCAGACCUACUGAGUUGGAAAUUCUGGGAGCGGGGCUUGACAAUCUGUUUUAACUAGGCCUCCAGGGGACUCAGACACAAGAUACAGUUUGAUAACUAUUGCUUAAUUGACGGCUGAAUGGUGAGCGACUCACGAUUGUAGCUGAUAUAUUUGACUACCCAUGAUGCACCACGCCCUAAACCAGGCACCUGACCUGCCUUGCUCACAACCACUGGAAUCAAACCUUCCAGCGAGGAGCCUCCUGCAAAGCCGCCAGAUGAUGUCUCUGAUUCCGAGUUUGCCUGCCAUCCUGUUGUUCUAAAU
rnacentral:lncRNA from 1 species